GAUGAAGAACGCAGCGAAAUGCGAUAAGUAAUGUGAAUUGCAGAAUUCAGUGAAUCAUCGAAUCUUUGAACGCACCUUGCGCCCUUUGGCUAUUCCGAAGGGCAUGCCUGUUUGAGUAUCGUGAACACCUCAACUCUCAUGGUUUGCCACGAUGAGCUUGGACUUUGGGGGUUUUGCUGGCCUUUGGUCGGCUCCUCUCAAACGGAUCAGCUUUCCAGUGUUUGGUGGCGUCACGGGUGUGAUACCUAUCUACGCCUGUGGUUUUCUGCCAGAUAACCUUCAGCGAUGGAGGUUCGCUGGGGCUCAUAAAUGUCUCUCUUCAGUGGAGACAGCUUUUUGGACGUUUGAUCUCAAAUCAGGUAGGACUACCCGCUGAACUUAAGCAUAUCAAUAAGCGGAGGA
rnacentral:misc_RNA from 1 species